UGGAGGUUCCCAGGCUAAGGGUCUAAUCAGAGCUACAGCCACCGGCCUGUACCACAGCCAUAGCAAUGCCAGAUCUGAGCCACAUCUGGAACCAACACCAGAGCUCACGGCAAUGCCGGAUUGUUAACCCACUGAGCAAGGACAGGGACCGAACCCGCAACCUCAUGGUUCCUAGUCGGAUUCGUUAAACACUGUGCCACGACGGGAACUCCAGGUUACAUUCUUAAGGGACAGAAAAGCGUCUUUCUCCCCCUCCUCCCUGCUCUGCUUUCAAUUCCUCACCUCACUCCAAUACACCAGCCAUAUAUAUAUAGAUGUUGGAGGUUCCCAGGCUAAGGGUCUAAUCAGAGCUACAGCCACCGGCCUGUACCACAGCCAUAGCAAUGCCAGAUCUGAGCCACAUCUGGAACCAACACCAGUAACCCACUGAGCAAGGCCAGGGAUCAGACCCGCAACCUCAUGGUUCCACUGCGCCAUGACGGGAACUCCACACCAGCCAUUCUAAAUAAUCACAUCCAGCUUCUAACCAGCCAGACCGCCUCUGGCCUCUGAUUCAUUAAAAACCACAGAACACUCAGCUUUUCCUAGCCAUCCUUACCUCUUUAAGGUCCUCUUUUUUCUUCUAUUAUUCUUUUCUUUUAAAGCAUAACUUUUCCUUAGCAGCCCAAGGUGGGAAUAUUCAAAUGCUAGUGAUUUUUGUCCCUGUGCAGAGGCUUUGCUGGAUCCCCAGGUGUUGGGUCUUCCCGAGGGUGGUAUGGGGACAGAGCGUGCCCAAACAGAGGAGGAGGUGUGACCCUCCAGCUCCCACUCUAAGCUGUGCAGGGAACGGGAAGAGCAUUAGACCAGGUUGCAGGUAAAGACCUUGGUCCAGACACAACCAUUCAAAUCGAUAAAUUUCCUUUACUGCCAACUUGUUUCUAAUUUCCUGCCUCUUUUCUGCUACGGUGGCAGAAAUGCAAUCACAGUUUUCUCAGGGAUUUCUCCACCUUCCUCUGAGAAAUUUAUAAAUUUGGGGGACUGGAAAGUUUAAAUGGUGCUAAAGCCAGACGUAUAUACUCCAUCUCCCCUUCUCACCACCUCUCUGCCAGCUCAACAGCAGGAGCAGACUCAGGCAAAAUCCAACAUUCCCCCAAAAUGGCAUUGUGAAGGUAAAACAAAAUCAGGCAACUAAAGCUGUAUAAUUAAGAAAAACAAACAAAUUUGGUGCACUGGUGAUUCUUAAGACCAGUCGUCCAAUGACUUGGAUUCUGAUUGACUCACACUUGCCCCCAGUGGCCCCCAGUGGUAAUACAACAUCUUGCCUCCCUGCCUCCCCAUCCCAACAGAAGCUAAUUGCCCCAGAUGCCACCCGACCCCAGCUGGCCAAUUAGACUUUCUCCCUCAGAAUGAUGCCCUUGGGACCAGAGAAAUAGGUAUUGGUUGCUGUUGGAGCAGCAUCCCAAGGGAAGAGGUCUACGAACUCGUCCUCUGAAGCCCCUGGAGCUGUCCCACCUCCUGUCCCCACUCCAGGCUUGGAGGUUUGGCAACUCUCACUUACAUGAACUGACCCAGCAUUCUUCCUGUUUUUCCUUUUUUUGUUGUUAUUAUUAUUUGUUAAGGGCCACAGGGGCAUUUAGCAACUCUGGAAUAAUUUUUUAUUGGUUUAGGUCAGUUCUGGUUUGUAUGUGUUAAAACAUACAUACCCUGAGAGUUUGGGGUGAGUAGAUGCAAACUAUUGCAUGUGGAGUGGAUAAGCAAUGAGAUCCUGCUGUACAGCACAAGGAAAUAUAUCCAAUCACUUGUGACGGAACAUGACGGAAGAUAAUGUGAGAAGAAGAGUCUGUAUGUAUAUAUGACUAGGUCAUUUUGAUAUAUAGCAGAAGUUGACGGAACAUUGUAAAUCAACUAUAAUAAAAAAAAUUAG
rnacentral:lncRNA from 1 species